CAGAGAUACUUGGAAUCCAUGUUGAUUAUGUAAAUUGCUUAUGAAUGCCUCGACAGAGUUUGUGGGCAAGCAAUCUUUUCUCAUGAAAAGGAAGGUUUUAUAGUUUUGCGCUUUCUUUUUUCCUAGAACUACCUACAGAGUCAACUGGGAACAGAGCCACACCCUUUUUCUCCCCCAAACACAAAACCUUUGAUUCUUUUCAGAAUAAAAUUUGGCAAAGCAAAGAGUGAAAAAUCUUGAGAAAAGCACAGCCAAUCUAGUUUAAGUGCAAAUAGAAUCAAAAGUUCCUGAUAUAGAAUAAGCAAAUGAUGGAAGAAGCCAAGUUUCCUGAGUGGCCACUAGGAAAACUCUGUCUUCUUUAUCAAAACUAUGAGAUAAGAAAACUGAGACAGAGGGAGGUUAAGAGUGAGGCCAUACAAUGCCAUCGCCAUCAAGCUACCAACGACUUUCUUCACAGAAUUGGAAAAAACUACUUUAAAGUUCAUAUGGAAACAAAAAACAGCCCUCAUUGCCAAGACAAUCCUAAGCAAAAAGAACAAAGCUAGAGGCAUCACACUACCUGACUUCAUACUAUACUACAAGUCUACAGUAACCAAAACAGCAUGGUACUGGUACCAAAACAGGUAUAUAGACCACUAGAACAGAACAGAGGCCUCAGAAAUAACACCACACAUCUACAACCGUCUGAUCUUUGACAAACCUGACAAAAACAAGAAAUGGGGAAAAGAUCCCCUAUUUAAUAAAUGGUGCUGGGAAAACUGGCUAGCCAUAUGUAGAAAACUGAAAUUGGAUCCCUUCCUUACACCUUAUUCAAAAGCUAAUUCGAGAUGGAAUAAAGACUUAAAUGUUUGACCUAAAAUUGUAAAAAACCCUAGAAGAAAACCUAGCCAAU
rnacentral:lncRNA from 1 species